rnacentral:rRNA from 1 species
GGAGAGCUUGCUUUCCUUGAGAGUGGCGCACGGGUGCGUAACACGUAUGUAACCUACCUUAAUCAGGGGGAUAGCCUCUCGAAAGAGAGAUUAAGACCGCAUAACAUCACGCUGCAGCAUUGCGAUGUGAUCAAAUAUUUAUAGGAUUAAGAUGGGCAUGCGGAACAUUAGCUAGUUGGUAAGGUAAAGGCUUACCAAGGCUACGAUGUUUAGGGGAUCUGAGAGGAUGACCCCCCACACUGGUACUGAGACACGGACCAGACUCCUACGGGAGGCAGCAGUAAGGAAUAUUGGUCAAUGGGCGGAAGCCUGAACCAGCCAUGCCGCGUGCAGGAAGACUGCCCUACGGGUUGUAAACUGCUUUUGUACCGGAAUAAACCUUGAUAUGUAUAUCAAGCUGAAUGUACGGUAAGAAUAAGGAUCGGCUAACUCCGUGCCAGCAGCCGCGGUAAUACGGAGGAUCCAAGCGUUAUCCGGAUUUAUUGGGUUUAAAGGGUGCGUAGGUGGCUUUUUAAGUCAGGGGUGAAAGACGGUAGCUUAACUAUCGCAGUGCCUUUGGUACUGAAGAGCUUGAGUGAACUAGAGGUAGGCGGAAUGUGACAAGUAGCGGUGAAAUGCAUAGAUAUGUCACAGAACACCAAUUGCGAAGGCAGCUUACUAUGGUGUCAUUGACA